GCGUGGUGAGAUAGCUCAGUCGGUAGAGCAAUGACUCUUAACCUGGAAGGUCGUGGGUUCAAGCCCCACACUGCACA